CGGGUGAGUAACACGUAUCCAACCUGCCGUCUACUCUUGGCCAGCCUUCUGAAAGGAAGAUUAAUCCAGGAUGGCAUCAUGAGUUCACAUGUCCGCAUGAUUAAAGGUAUUCUUCGGUAGACGAUGGGGAUGCGUUCCAUUAGAUAGUAGGCGGGGUAACGGCCCACCUAGUCAACGAUGGAUAGGGGUUCUGAGAGGAAGGUCCCCCACAUUGGAACUGAGACACGGUCCAA
rnacentral:rRNA from 1 species